GAUGAACGCUAGCUACAGGCUUAACACAUGCAAGUCGAGGGGAAACGGCAUCGAAAGCUUGCUUUUGAUGGGAGUCGACCGGCGCACGGGUGAGUAACGCGUAUCCAACCUGCCCAUCACUUGGGAAUAACCUUGCGAAAGUAAGACUAAUGCCCAAUUCCAUCCCACGAAGGCAUCCGAAUGGGACUCAAGAUUUAUCGGUGAUGGAUGGGGAUGCGUCUGAUUAGCUUGUUGGCGGGGUGACGGCCCACCAAGGCAACGAUCAGUAGGGGUUCUGAGAGAAAGGUCCCCCACAUUGGAACUGAGACACGGUCCAAACUCCUACGGGAGGCAGCAGUGAGGAAUAUUGGUCAAUGGGCGAGAGCCUGAACCAGCCAAGUAGCGUGCAGGAUGACGGCCCUAGGGGUUGUAAACUGCUUUUAUAAGGGAAUAAGGUGGGUCACGUGUGACUUUUUGCAUGUACCUUAUGAAUAAGGACCGGCUAAUUCCGUG
rnacentral:rRNA from 1 species